UGGGGAAUAUUGCACAAUGGGCGCAAGCCUGAUGCAGCAACGCCGCGUGAACGAUGAAGGUCUUCGGAUCGUAAAGUUCUGUUGCAGGGGAAGAUAAUGACGGUACCCUGUGAGGAAGCCCCGGCUAACUACGUGCCAGCAGCCGCGGUAAUACGUAGGUGGCAAGCGUUGUCCGGAUUUAUUGGGCGUAAAGCGAGCGCAGGCGGUCAAUUAAGUCUGAUGUGAAAGCCCCCGGCUCAACCGGGGAGGGUCAUUGGAAACUGGUUGACUUGAGUGCAGAAGAGGAGAGUGGAAUUCCAUGUGUAGCGGUGAAAUGCGUAGAUAUAUGGAGGAACACCAGUGGCGAAGGCGACUCUCUGGUCUGUAACUGACGCUGAGGUUCGAAAGCGUGGGUAGCAAACAGG
rnacentral:rRNA from 1 species